rnacentral:rRNA from 1 species
CCUACGGGUUGCAGCAGUGGGGAAUAUUGGACAAUGGGCGAAAGCCUGAUCCAGCCAUGCCGCGUGUGUGAAGAAGGCCUUCGGGUUGUAAAGCACUUUCAGUGGGGAAGAAAGCCUUGGGGCUAAUACCCUCGAGGAAGGACAUCACCCACAGAAGAAGCACCGGCUAACUCCGUGCCAGCAGCCGCGGUAAUACGGAGGGUGCGAGCGUUAAUCGGAAUUACUGGGCGUAAAGCGCGCGUAGGCGGUCUGAUAAGCCGGUUGUGAAAGCCCCGGGCUCAACCUGGGAACGGCAUCCGGAACUGUCAGGCUAGAGUGCAGGAGAGGAAGGUAGAAUUCCCGGUGUAGCGGUGAAAUGCGUAGAGAUCGGGAGGAAUACCAGUGGCGAAGGCGGCCUUCUGGACUGACACUGACGCUGAGGUGCGAAAGCGUGGGUAGCAAACAGGAUUAGAUACCCUUGUAGUC